rnacentral:rRNA from 1 species
GACGAACGCUGGCGGCGUGCCUAAUACAUGCAAGUCGAACGCAUUGGGGACGGGUGAGUAACACGUGGGUAACCUCCCAUCAGAGGGGAUAACACUUGGAAACAGGUGCUAAACCGAUCCUGAUGGAUGGACCCGCGGUGCAUUAGCUAGUUGGUGAGGUAACGGCUCACCAAGGCCACGAUGCAUAGCCGACCUGAGAGGGUGAGCGGCCACACUGGGAAUGAGACACGGCCCAGACGACUACGGGAGGCAGCAGUAGGGAAGCGUAGGCAAGGGACGAAAGUCUGACCGAGAAACGCCGCGGGAGUGAAGAAGGUUUUAGGAUCGUAAGACUCUGUUGUUAGAGAAGCGGUAUCUAACCAGAAAGCCACGGAUAACAACGUGCCAGCAGCCGCGGUAAUAC